rnacentral:rRNA from 1 species
CCUACGGGUGGCAGCAGUGGGGAAUAUUGGACAAUGGGCGAAAGCCUGAUCCAGCCAUGCCGCGUGUGUGAAGAAGGCCUUCGGGUUGUAAAGCACUUUCAGUGGGGAAGAAAGCCUUGGGGCUAAUACCCUCGAGGAAGGACAUCACCCACAGAAGAAGCACCGGCUAACUCCGUGCCAGCAGCCGCGGUAAUACGGAGGGUGCGAGCGUUAAUCGGAAUUACUGGGCGUAAAGCGCGCGUAGGCGGUCUGAUAAGCCGGUUGUGAAAGCCCCGGGCUCAACCUGGGAACGGCAUCCGGAACUGUCAGGCUAGAGUGCAGGAGAGGAAGGUAGAAUUCCCGGUGUAGCGGUGAAAUGCGUAGAGAUCGGGAGGAAUACCAGUGGCGAAGGCGGCCUUCUGGACUGACACUGACGCUGAGGUCCGAAAGCGUGGGUAGCAAACAGGAUUAGAUACCGAGUAGUC